GUGUGUGUGUGUGUGUGUGUGUGUGUAUGUAUGUGUAUAUAUAUAUAUAUAUAUAUAUAUACAUAUACAUACAUACAUAUACACGCAA